CCGUGAAGCUGGAUUCGCUAGUAAUCGCGCAUCAGCCAUGGCGCGGUGAAUACGUUCCCGGGCCUUGUACACACCGCCCGUCAAGCCAUGGGAGCCGGGAGUGCCUGAAGUCCGUGACCGCGAGGAGCGGCCUAGGGUAAGACCGGUGACUGGGGCUAAGUCGUAACAAGGUAGC
rnacentral:rRNA from 1 species